UAUCAGAUUUUACAGAUCAUGUGACACAGCAAAAGGAAAUAAAUUCACCCGCAGACGUCAACGGUUAUCAGACAGACAGCAACACAGAGCUCGAGCCGUGCAGACGUGAAACAAAUUUGUUCUCCAGUAUUAAUUCUAGUUAUCGCUUAAAAUAACUCAUCACGAUGAAGAUUGUCGCUGCCUUGGUUUUAUGUUCCGUAUUUGUGGCAUGUCACAGUACCAGCAGCACUUCCACUGAUGGCGCACCAUCAUCGACUGUAACGGGAUCACCUGCUGGUCCAAACACUGGGUCAUCAAGCGCUGGUCCCGUUGUGACAGGAUCAACAACACCAAGUUCUAGCAGCUCCGUUAUAUCCAACAUUUUCCUCUUUGGUUUAAUGUCAGCUUUCGUUGCUCUCAAAAAUUCGUUAUAACUGACAUUCGAGAUAAAAAGAUCCUCCUUAGAUAUCCACAACUCUGAUUUUUCCUUUCAACUUGAGAAUUUUUCGGUCUUGAUAAAAUUUAAAGUAUCCUGGGAAUGCAUCCUGACCAUUAAAGAAUUAAAGAAAUACUGAAGAACUGGAUAGAAACCAAUUGAACGAGAAUCAUUUAUUUAAAAUCUGUGUGUAACCCUAGUAACUGUCCAUGUAUACGCAUAAUAUUUAAUAAAAUUAACCAUAUAUGAGUGUUAUGAAUAGCUAUUUUACAAAACAAAAGCCCAAAACAUUUGGGCCAAACUUUGAUAUAUCAAUGUUAAGAGAUUUUCAAAUUCAUUGAUCUUUUGUGGAAUUCGUUUUUUUAAAGAUUUAAAUAUUUUAGUUUUCUCUUAGGAUAUUAGCUUUACAUUAAAGUCUAAUAAUAAACUUUUAUUUAUAUAUAUGUGCUUUUCAUUACACAAAACGCAGUAUUUUUCAUCUUAAAGUCGCUAAUCAAUAUUCGCAUUUUUAGGACAAUAUCUGAAUGUUCACGAUUUAUUGAAUUGUAUUUGUUUGAAACUAUUUAAAGAUUUGGUAUUUUCGAUUCAUGUAGGAAAAUUACCUUUACAUUAAGUCUUAUACUACAAGAUACUUUUUAAGAGUUUGCGAAACUUUUAUAUUCUUGCUUUUCAUUACACACGCUGCGGUAUUUUAAACUCAAUGCCACUGAUCUUCAUUUGCACAGUUCAGAUAUAAUACGUUGCGACUUACUCCAACCUACAAUGACUGUUGCAUUAUUGAAUUAUUGUGCCUAGAAACAACAAGUAUGCAUAUAUUUUUUUUAAAAAACGCUCAAUUUCAAAAUCCAGCCAUUCUUGAUCCAUUAAAAAAAUGUAAAUUAUUUUAUAAAAAACAAAUUUUCAAGAGGCGCAACUUUCUUGUUUUUACUCGCUUUUAUUAUUCCCAGUGUUGAAAUCAAUGAGGGAUUUUAUUUUUCGAAAUUUCUCUAAAAUGGCUUAUUAUGACGAAGCAAACACUUUAGGAGUUUGUUUUUGAGGCUUUUAUGAUGAAACAAAUUCAUAGUUUCUCGAAUUAUUCUUCUAUUCGGAAAUUUGAAAUUGUUCUGAAAAGAUUUCAAUGCGCGAUAUAAAAUUUGCUGAGCAGAAAUAGAUAAAGUUUGUGUCUUAUGAAAAGGGAAGAUUACUGUUUGGGUUUUUGAUUAAGUAUAUUUCUUUCAAAUAAAAGAGGAAUAAUGAGUUUGAUAAGUUUAUUUUGUCUACAUAUUUGAAACAUAUUUAUUUCUUUAUGUUUGAAUUACAAUAUAAUAAACUAUAAUAUUUCUUA